rnacentral:tRNA from 1 species
GCCUGAGUAGCUCAGUUGAUAGCGCAUCAGACUUUUAAUUUGAGGGCCUAGGAUUCAAGUCCCUGUUCAGGUG